rnacentral:rRNA from 1 species
AACGAACGCUGGCGGCAUGCCUAACACAUGCAAGUCGAACGAGACCUUCGGGUCUAGUGGCGCAUGGGUGCGUAACGCGUGGGAACCUGCCCUUAGGUUCGGAAUAACUCCCCGAAAGGGGUGCUAACACCGGAUAAUGUCUUCUGACCAAAGAUUUAUCGCCUUUGGAUGGGCCCGCGUUGGAUUAGCUAUUUGUUAGGGUAAAAGCCUACCAAGGCGACGAUCCAUAGCUGGUCUGAGAGGAAGAUCAGCCACACUGGGACUGGGACACGGCCCAGAAUCCUACGGGAGGCAGGAGUGGGGAAUAGUGGACAAUGGGCGAAAGGCUGAUCCAGCAAGGCCGCGUAAGUGAUGAAGGCAUUAGGGUUGUAAAGCGCUUUUAACCGGGAUGAUAAUGACAGUACCGGGAGAAUAAGCUCCGGCUAACUCCGUG